rnacentral:rRNA from 1 species
UACGCAGGGCGCAAGCGUUGUCCGGAAUUAUUGGGCGUAAAGGGCUCGUAGGCGGUUUGUCGCGUCGGGAGUGAAAUCCACUGGCUUAACUGGUGGCUUGCUUUCGAUACGGGCGGACUGGAGGUAUGCAGGGGAGAACGGAAUUCCUGGUGUAGCGGUGAAAUGCGCAGAUAUCAGGAGGAACACCGGUGGCGAAGGCGGUUCUCUGGGCAUGUCCUGACGCUGAGGAGCGAAAGUGUGGGGAGCGAACAGG